rnacentral:rRNA from 1 species
CCUACGGGCGGCAGCAGUGGGGAAUAUUGGACAAUGGGCGCAAGCCUGAUCCAGCCAUGCCGCGUGUGUGAAGAAGGCCUUCGGGUUGUAAAGCACUUUCAGUGGGGAAGAAAGCCUUGGGGCUAAUACCCUCGAGGAAGGACAUCACCCACAGAAGAAGCACCGGCUAACUCCGUGCCAGCAGCCGCGGUAAUACGGAGGGUGCGAGCGUUAAUCGGAAUUACUGGGCGUAAAGCGCGCGUAGGCGGUCUGAUAAGCCGGUUGUGAAAGCCCCGGGCUCAACCUGGGAACGGCAUCCGGAACUGUCAGGCUAGAGUGCAGGAGAGGAAGGUAGAAUUCCCGGUGUAGCGGUGAAAUGCGUAGAGAUGGGGAGGAAUACCAGUGGCGAAGGCGGCCUUCUGGACUGACACUGACGCUGAGGUGCGAAAGCGUGGGUAGCAAACAGGAUUAGAUACCCGAGUAGUC